GGAUGUGAAGACUGUCUGUCUGUGACAACUAGUGUCAUUGAUCACUAGGGUUGAUUAGGCUGAUCUGAAUGGCUAGGUGGUGUCCCCUUCUUCCCUCAACACUCCAUGUGUGCAUCUCCAGAAGCCACAUGGGAUGAAGAGGACAACCUUCCCUGAUACAGGAAGACUCAUCUUCAGUCAAGGAUACACAAGUAGCUGUGUUCCCCUGCUAGAACCUCCAAACAAGCUCCCAAGAAAAACUAGGACAGAAGUAGUUUUAACAAGUAGGGAAGACAGGGGAAUGUUCCUCAGAAUUCUUACCUAGCAUUCAGGAAGUCCUGG
rnacentral:snRNA from 1 species